rnacentral:lncRNA from 1 species
AUGACCUUUAUGUUUAUUUUUUUCUUCCACUAUCCUGUCGCUCAUGUGUACAGGAGUCCCACCUUAUCUGUGGUUUCACUUUCUGAGGUUUCAGUUAUCAGAAUGGGUUGCAUCAGAAAGCACGAGCCUAUAGAAAGACUUCAGCAAGGGAGUCUCUAUAUAUAUAAGGGAAGAAACAGUUUAUCAUCUAGUCAGUACAAUCUGCAGUUUCAAGCAUCCACUGUGGGUCUUGGAAUGUAUCCCUGCAAAAAGGCACUAGGGCAGGGGCCACUUCUGUAUACUUCAAAAUAUGUACCGAUGAAAACAUACAGUGUUAUCUGUCAAUCUGAAAACAAAAUCACCAUGACUUCUGGGCACUGUAGUCCUACCUGUGGACUGGCUGCCUGACUGUGGAGCGUCCUCGUAUUGGACAUUAAGAUACUGUCCUAAGAUGGCGACUUCUUAUUUGGCAGCCUGUGGCAGCUGAGUUUGAAUUUGAUGGCGGCCGUCGCGUGUUAGGUUAGCCGUAGAGCUGCUCCCUCUCAGCCAGAGCAGCAAGCACAGUUUCACUUGACCCAUUUUACACCUGUUGUCUCCACCCAAGCACCAUGGCUCCACCCAGGAAGGGUGGCCGUCAGGUGGCCAAGACCAACUUGUUACAGAGCCAGAAGCUGACCUCCUUUCUUAAGGAUUUCAAUCGUGAAGUGCAAAUACUAUGGAAGCCAAUUCAGUCAGGCAGGACCUCUCCCAGAAGAUUGAUAAGCUGCAUGACCAGGCCACUCAGCGGCUUCCUGAGGCACAGUGUGACAUGAACUGGUAAUGCACAGACUGUGCAUUCGUAGCUGUUUCGUGAGUAAUAUGCACAGUGCGUGUCUUGGGUAUUUUAAAGUACAUGAGAGGGUUAUUUCAGCAGCUGAUGGGAUGCCAAAUGUUUGACUUUUUAUUAUUCCAGCCCUUCAGAUUUCCCCAGAAUUGUCACCUUCUAGAGCGUUUGUCUUCCCAGUGCGUUCCAGAAAUUCUCUAUACCACCGCCGUGUUGCUCAGAAAACAACAGAGCUUUCAGUCAGUUCAGGUAACCUUAGAAUCUGGGCUGAUGCCUCAGAAAGGAAGAAAGGCCGGGACGGCUUUGGCUUGGGUGGCAGUCUCAUUUCUCCCUUGGUUUCACUUCCUUUUCCAUUCUGGUGGUUUCCCAUUUUACCCCGUAGCCUCCUCUCAGAGGCUGUCCCCCCCCCCCCCCCACCAGCUCCAUUCUUCCCACUCUCUGGCCCAUUUGUGUCCUCAGAGGUCUGGCUGCUGCCACUGCACCUGCCUCAGACCCAGUGUCACCUCACCAGGGCUUCAGCCAGCCUGGCCUUCCAGCUGCCACCCAGCAGCUCAGCUCAGCUCAGCAGAACCUUCUGGCUUGACCUACACUCCCAACUCCCACCCAGGGGCAAAUGCAGAAGACUCUGCUGGUGCAGCCAACACGGAGUGGGGGCAAGGGGAAGAGGAAAAGCAGCAGCUUCCUGUGCUUCGCAGCUCAGAGCAUUGCUAA